rnacentral:rRNA from 1 species
UACGAAGGGGGCUAGCGUUGCUCGGAAUGACUGGGCGUAAAGGGCGCGUAGGCGGCGCAGUUAGUCAGGCGUGAAAUUCCUGGGCUCAACCUGGGGACUGCGCUUGAUACGGCUGUGCUUGAGGAUGGAAGAGGCUCGCGGAAAUUCCCAGUGUAGAGGUGAAAUUCGUAGAUAUUGGGAAGAACACCGGUGGCGAAGGCGGCGAGCCGGUCCAUUACUGACGCUGAGGCGCGACAGCGUGGGGAGCAAACAGG